UACUGGAGUUCAAAACAGAAAGUCAUAGUA
rnacentral:piRNA from 1 species